AUUAAGGUGGCAGAGCCAAGAAACAUGCCAUGGGCCUAAGCCCUAUGAACAGAGGUUCAAAUCCUCUCCUUAAUA
rnacentral:tRNA from 1 species